UACGAAGGGGGCUAGCGUUGUUCGGAAUCACUGGGCGUAAAGGGCGCGUAGGCGGCUUUGUAAGUCGGGGGUGAAAGCCUGUGGCUCAACCACAGAAUUGCCUUCGAUACUGCAUGGCUUGAGACCGGAAGAGGUAAGUGGAACUGCGAGUGUAGAGGUGAAAAUUCGUAGAUAUUCGCAAGAACACCAGUGGCGAAGGCGGCUCACUGGCCCGAUACUGACGCUGAGGCACGAAAAGCGUGGGGAGCAAACAGG
rnacentral:rRNA from 1 species